UACAGAGGUCUCAAGCGUUGUUCGGAUUCAUUGGGCGUAAAGGGUGCGUAGGCGGCGCGGUAAGUCGGGUGUGAAAUUUCGGAGCUUAACUCCGAAACUGCAUUCGAUACUGCAGUGCUUGAGGACUGGAGAGGAGACUGGAAUUCAUGGUGUAGCAGUGAAAUGCGUAGAGAUCAUGAGGAAGACCAGUGGCGAAGGCGGGUCUCUGGACAGUUCCUGACACUGAGACACGAAGGCCAGGGGAGCAAACGGG
rnacentral:rRNA from 1 species